AUUGAACGCUGGCGGCAGGCCUAACACAUGCAAGUCGAGCGGAUGAAGGGAGCUUGCUCCUGGAUUCAGCGGCGGACGGGUGAGUAAUGCCUAGGAAUCUGCCUGGUAGUGGGGGAUAACGUCCGGAAACGGGCGCUAAUACCGCAUACGUCCUGAGGGAGAAAGUGGGGGAUCUUCGGACCUCACGCUAUCAGAUGAGCCUAGGUCGGAUUAGCUAGUUGGUGGGGUAAAGGCCUACCAAGGCGACGAUCCGUAACUGGUCUGAGAGGAUGAUCAGUCACACUGGAACUGAGACACGGUCCAGACUCCUACGGGAGGCAGCAGUGGGGAAUAUUGGACAAUGGGCGAAAGCCUGAUCCAGCCAUGCCACGUGUGUGAAGAAGGUCUUCGGAUUGUAAAGCACUUUAAGUUGGGAGGAAGGGCAGUAAGUUUAUACCUUGCUGUUUUGACGUUACCAACAGAAUAAGCACCGGCUAACUUCGUG
rnacentral:rRNA from 1 species